rnacentral:rRNA from 1 species
CCUACGGGAGGCUGCAGUGAGGAAUAUUGGUCAAUGGGCGAGAGCCUGAACCAGCCAAGUCGCGUGAGGGAGUACUGCCCUAUGGGUUGUAAACCUCUUUUGUCGGGGAGCAAAAGCCGGACGUGUCCGGCUGUGAGAGUACCCGAAGAAAAAGCAUCGGCUAACUCCGUGUCAGCAGCCGCGGUAAUACGGAGGAUGCGAGCGUUAUCCGGAUUUAUGGGGUUUAAAGGGUGAUCAGGCGGAUUUUUAAGUCAGCGGUCAAAUCGUGGGGCUCAACCCCAUCCAGCCGUUGAAACUGGAGAUCUAGAGUGUGCGAGAGGUAUGCGGAAUGCGUGGUGUAGCGGUGAAAUGCAUAGAGAUCACGCAGAACCCCGAUUGCGAAGGCAGCAUACCGGUGCACAACUGACGCUCAGGCACGAAAGCGUGGGUAUCGAACAGGAUUAGAUACCCUAGUAGUC